CACUAGAAAAGGAUGGCUUAACAUGUUCCAGUAAAUUCCCUUCCCCUCAGCCCUCCUACCUUGCUCUGAAGGGACUGGCCGAUGAAAUAAGAAGAAAUGAACCAACAUAAAUUGUCAGCCUGUCAUCCCUCAUCUACCCACUGUCUGUAAGAAUGAGCUCUAGGUGGGGAGACUCGCAGCCAACGGAGCCUGGGUCGACAGAGCCCAUGGCCGACCGCUGCACCUGGGGCCAGGGUAGGUGCCGCAGAGGCACAGGAGGGGACCCGGCGGUGGUCUUGGAAGAGGUUGGUGCGGCAGUCGAUGAGGGUGCUGGUCGGGGUCGGAGGUCAUGGAGGGCAAGGACGGGCCACGUGUGAGUUGAAGGACCCGGCGUGGGAUGACCGCUGUGAGAGGAAGGGAAGGGGGUGGGGGAAACAAAAGUGGACCUGGCGCAAGCUACUUUGUAACUUUGUCAAUGCCCUUUAUGUGGUGAUUAUUUGCAUACCUUGGGUAUGCAAGCAAAGAAUUUCACUGUGACUUAUCACAUGUGAUAAUAAAGCAUUCAUUCAUUCAUUCAU